rnacentral:lncRNA from 1 species
GUUGCGGGGAGGGGUCCUGGGGGUCCUGGGGGUCCCGAUGCCAGCUCUGCUCUCCCUCUCGCAGGGCCCGUGCAGGAGGUGGAUCAAGAGGGGCUCCUGGCGGAGCUCGGAAACCUCCUGGACCCCAAAGGGGAACCCCUGGGGCUGCUGGGGCUGCUGGACCCCAAAGGGGAACCCCUGGGGCUGCUGGACCCCAAAGGGGAACCCCUGGGGCUGCUGGACCCCGAAGAGAGCCCCGAGGAGUCCGAGGAUCACGAAGAGAGCCCUGAGGAGUCUGAGGAUUUUCAAGAGAGUCCUGAAGAGUCUGAGGAUCACGAGGAGAGCCCCGAGGAUCCCAAAGAGAGCCCUGAAGAGUCUGAGGAUCCCAAAGAGAGUCCUGAGGAGUCUGAAGAUCACGAGGAGAGCCCUGAAGAGUCUGAGGAUCACGAAGAGAGCCCCAAGGAGUCUGAGGAUUCUGAAGAGAGCCCUGAAGAGUCCGAGGAUCAUGAAGAGAGCCCUGAAGAGUCUGAGGAUUUUGAGGAGAGCCCUGGGGAGUCUGAAGAGAGCCCUGAAGAGUCUGAAGAUCAUGAGGAGAGCCCUGAAGAGUCCGAGGAUCCCAAAGAGAGCCCCGAGGAGUCUGAGGAUCAUGAGGAGAGCCCUGAAGAGUCUGAGGAUCACGAGGAGAGCCCCGAGGAUCCCAAAGAGAGCCCUGAGGAGUCUGAGGAGUCUGAAGAGAGCCCUGAAGAGUCUGAGGAUCAUGAGGAGAGCCCUGAGGAGUCUGAGGAUUUUGAGGAGAGCCCUGAAGAGUCUGAAGAGAGUCCUGAGGAGUCUGAGGACCACGAAGAGAGCCCCGAGGAGUCUGAGGAUUCUGAAGAGAGUCCUGAGGAUCCCAAAGAGAGCCCCGAGGAGUCUGAAGAUCACGAAGAGAGCCCUGAGGAGUCUGAAGAUCACGAGGAGAGCCCCGAGGAGUCUGAGGAUUCUGAAGAGAGCCCUGAAGAGUCCGAGGAUCACGAGGAGAGCCCUGAGGAGUCUGAAGAUCACGAAGAGAGUCCCGAGGAGUCCGAGGAUCACGAAGAGAGCUCCGAGGAGUCUGAGGAAAGCUCUGAGGAUCCCGAAGAGAGCUCUGAGGAGUCGGAGGAGCUCAGCGUGGAUCCGACCCUCCUCGGGGAGCUGGCAACCAAACUAAAAGGUUUGGGACCCCCCCCCAAAACUCCCCGGGCCCCCCAGGGACGGGCAGAUCUGGUUCGGGACCCCCCAAAACUCCCCGAGCCCCCCAGGGACGGGCAGAUCUGGUUUGGGACCCCCCAAAACUCCCCGAGCCCCCCA